rnacentral:rRNA from 1 species
UACAGAGGGUGCGAGCGUUAAUCGGAAUUACUGGGCGUAAAGCGUGCGCAGGCGGUCUGUUAAGACCGAUGUGAAAUCCCCGGGCUUAACCUGGGAACUGCAUUGGUGACUGGCAGGCUUUGAGUGUGGCAGAGGGACGUAGAAUUCCACGUGUAGCAGUGAAAUGACGUAGAGAUGUGGAGGAAUACCGAUGGCGAAGGCAGCCUCCUGGGCCAAC